UUACAUAGAGGAGCAGGGGAGGGCCAAGAGGCCGUCGGUGGGGUUGGAUCAGCUAGGCCGGAGACCUCUCAUUGCUUAGGCCCCAUGGCAGCAGCCGGAUCGGGGCGGCGGCGGAAGGCCAUGGAGGGUGUGGUGCAUGCGGGCGAAACCAACAUGGGUUGGUGGAGCAACGGAUGCGGGCAUGGUCAGCGGUUAGGGGCACUGCGAGGAGUGGAAGGCAGAGGGUAGGGGCAGAAAGCCGUGGCGAGUCCUCGGAGAGGAGAGGAAGGCGACGGUUCAGCCCGUGGUGUUGGGAAGAGAGAGAUGUGGAUGGCGGCGUUGUGCAAAGAGAGAUGGCGGCGGCGCUGAGUAGAGAGAGAUGACUGCGGCAGCGGUGGCGCUGAGUAGAGAGAGAUGACGUCCAUAAUCUUGCGGAGGUGUUCCUCAACCUACAUGAGGCACCCCAAGUGUGGGAAGAAUAAAAUGUAAUUCAAUCGUUGGGUGUAUUGUUCAGAUGAGUUCGUCCUGUGCUAGAAGCUGCAGGAAUUCAGUUUGUUUCUGGUUUUUUGGAAGUCAUAGAUUGUUUUGUGCCGGAGACAGGACAAGUAAUGCUCUAACCUUGGCAGCAAAAAUGGUCUAAAUUUCAUAUAGAAGGCCCUAGAAUACUUUGCAUGUGUUCAUUCAAAUAUAUGGAGUUGACCUGUAUGUGUUGCUUCUGUGCACACUAUGUUUCAUAUGAGUUUGUAGGAGAGAAACUCUAUAAUGGUAAUGAAGUAUUGUCGAUAUUUACUCUGUUGCUUAAGGCCUAGGCAUCCUUUUGGAUGCAGUUAUGGUAGCAUGUGUGUUUGAGAGAAGUGGAUGGAAAAUUGGGGACUGAAACAAGUGGCGAAGAAAGUUAUUAGUUGAUUCUCACAUCAGAUAGAAGUUGUCUCACGAAUGUUUAUUUAUUUAGUGACCAGGCAUGAGAUCUGGAAUAUUGAAGAGCAACAAUUGGCAGAAGUAUUAGAUGAGUUUGGGAAUACAUGGUCAUGUAUGGAGUAUUUUCAUGAUUAGUUUUCCAUCGCUCGGCUCCUGAAGGCAUGAUGCCUCAUUUCAAUUCUCUUAUCUUGAUGUGUUUGUAUUCAGAAAAUUAAGGCAUGAUUCAUCAUUUAGAUUAUCUUAUCUCCGUGUGUUUGUAUUCAGAAAAUCAAUUUGCUUAUUUUUUGCUUUCUUAGGGCUAUAAAAAGAGGAAACUCCAUCGCUAAAAAUCUUUUAAAGAGAUUGAGGAUAAAAAAAUCCAAGCAAACUCCGCUUUUCUCCCGUAUUUUUUGUGCGCGCCUUAAUCUGUGUUGGGAGAAAGAUAUUGCUCUUUGUUCAGAAAAUGUUUAUUAGAUGGAAAAUACUCAGCAUUUAAAUUUUUUUCUUCAGAUGUUUUGGGUUUUUUUAGUAGGCUGCUCGACAGGUCUUGCGUUUUUUGCAAGAUUUGUAUGGAUUCGUGGUUCAUGACUAUAACUAUGAAUGUAUGAUGGCCUAUAGGAGAUAUGUCCGUUCUUUAAUGAUCAUUGCGGUUUCUUUGAUUCCUACUAUGCUAGUUAUUCUGUCUGUAGGCCAGCAUAUUAUUUUAAUUCUUUCUAACUGCCUUUCUAUACGUAGAAAUGCACACCUACUUCCAAGCUUAGUACUGGUCUCCUUGCAGUUACAACCCCGAGGUUUAGCUUCUGAAACAGUCUGCUAACAUAUGCUUAACUACUUAAAUGCACUGAUGUUUGUGUGUUCUUUUGUAGAAAAUCGCCAUGCCCAGACGGCAGUGCCAGGUGUGCCUUAUUUCAAGCUGCUGAGAAGAAAACCGCUGCACCAGAAGAACCUAUGCAGAAGCUUGAUGCAGAAGACGAGGUGAGCUCUGGUGGUAAAGCUGAAGCUUCUUCACCUCCUGUUGAAGAGAAGGAUGGUAAAUAUGGCCAGGCUCAAGUGACCAGGAAUAAAUGGUGCUGCUUUUUAUGUUGUCCAUCUAUCUAUGCAUCCUUCAGUUUGUACCGGCAUAACAAAUAUUCAUUUCUGACUAUAAAACUUUCAGUUAAGAAACUCCACUGCUGGAAAGGGAGCUGGGGCACUAAAGAAACCGGGAUAAACUAUCUAUAGAUACAAUAGCAAAUUGCUCUAAAUUCAUUUUCAGUUAUCAUCUCUGGCCUUUCUAUUUCUAAGACCAUCCUUCUCGCUGUUGUCUAUUAUAUAAUCUUAGUUUCUCCUUGAUGACAUCGCAAGAAAAGAAUGGUGGUCUUAUGCGAGUCGCUUCGCCAUCCAACAACACUCCAUUGCACUACUUUUUGUCCAGCUUCAAGCCGAGCCAGUGAAUGUGUGUUCCUUGCAUGACGUUUAGUAUAACCAAAUGCUUCUUAUUAAGUAUGCUUUCAAAACUAGAGUAUUUGGCUGCUCAUGUAGCUCUGCCAAAGCAAUGCAAAAAAACUACAUUUUAUGCUUUCAGUUAGGGUGGAUUUGUGUCUUCAGAGAUGAGGCAACCUUACGUGUACAUAUUCACAGAUACUUCCUCCGUUCCUAAAUAGAAGUCUUUAGAGAUUUAAAUACGGACUACACACAAAGCAAAAUGAGUGAAUCUACACUCUAAACUGUGUCCCUUUAUCACACUUCCAGCAGACAUGAGUUCUCGUGUUUUUACAGCUUUGUGGCAACAUGAUUCGAUGCAGAAGAUUCAACUAUGUAAAUUGGAAUAAAGAAAAUUAAACACUCAGGUCAAUGGACUGUUCUUUUAUUUGUCUAUGGAACAACUCUUCUUGUACAUGUUUGUGCUCUGUUCCAUAGCAUGCUAGUGCUCUGACCACUUCAUAUCCAUGUAUUUAGCAGGUUCUACGAUCUCUUGUGUUGCACUGUUGCUGCGUCUCGAUCUCCUGCUUUGUUGCAUCUUUGUUCUGCUCCUUGAUGUUUGCUUACUUUCUGUCUAGCUAAAAUGCUUUUCUGGAUCUGGCAAGGCCCCGUGUAUUGUUCGUCCUCAUGCUGCUUAUAUUCCAUGCUUGCAUGUGAGCAGGAUGCGUCUACUUAUUUGAGUACAUACAGACAUGCUUCUUUAGUGUGCCCUUCUAUCAUCUCAUAGUUAUCUUAUUUGUUGUUCUAAAUAAUUAUUGCAGGAGGGAGCAGCAGGCAAAAGAAAAUCCAAAGCAAAUUUUGCUCAGCUGUAGCGUCUUCCACUAACAAUAAGUCUGCACAGCAGCCUGAUAGGGAUAUGAGGAGACAGCUCUAUUGUUGGUAGUGACUGCAAACAUGGACUCCUCUUCGCUGGACGGGGAAAACAAAAAUAAUAAUCUAGUAGGCAGUAAAAUUACAUGGCUGAUCUCGGUUUUGUACAUCUUAGGUGAGCAUUAUGAGUUCUACUUCCCAUAAGAGAGUGUAUUUUGGUGCUACAGAUUGUUUCUAUCUUAGAGCAAGAAGCCAAAUCAUGUCGUUCAUUGUAAAUCUUGAAAAACUUGUUUAUUGUCACUUCUAUAUCUGUUAUAAACUUUUGUUCCUGGUGUGGUACUUGUCAAUCUUGGUUUGCCCUUCCAUUUCAAAUUUGCCCUUCCACUGCAGCAAUAUGUCAAUCUUGUGUUCUUGAAUUGAUUCCUCAUUUCAUGUCUGCACUUCUAUUACAGUAGAACAUGUUAUAAACAUGGCCCUGGGCAUUGUUUGUCCAAUAACCUUCAAAAGAGAAGAGAUGGCUAUAGAGAGUGGCUCCAUCACUAAAGAGAUGACAAAUGUUGUGCAAGGCAUUGUUUGUUCAGCUCCUUUCAAAAAAUGAAGGAAUUACAGUGCAUGUGACCUAUAUAGGGGAUGUGAAGGACAAAUUGCUAUGGAUCCAAAGUGGGAGGGGAGAGUUACCAACAACGUAUAUGGACAAAGCAUGACAUGGAUUCCCAAGUUCUAGCUUACAUAGCAAAAUUAUAUAGAGAGAAUGCCCGCAUUUUGAAAACUCCAUUACAUAGUUCGAAGCUAUUUUCUUUCAAUUUUCAUUAUUAAAAGGAUUCUAUUAUUGCCAAUCUGUUAACAAUUUAUUGUGAAAUUAUUAAGGAUAAUUAAUCCCAGCAGUUAAUCAGGGAAAUCCCCGUUUCCCCUCACCUGCGGUUGCAACUCCAGCAACCAGCGUGACAGUUCACAGUUCCUUCCAUCCCUACGCAUCUCAGGAGGCGCCUCU